rnacentral:rRNA from 1 species
AACGAACGCCGGCGGCAUGCCUAACACAUGCAAGUCGAACGAGACCUUCGGGUCUAGUGGCGCACGGGUGCGUAACGCGUGGGAAUCUGCCCUUAGGUUCGGAAUAACAGUUAGAAAUGACUGCUAAUACCGGAUGAUGACUUCGGUCCAAAGAUUUAUCGCCUGAGGAUGAGCCCGCGUAGGAUUAGCUUGUUGGUGAGGUAAAGGCUCACCAAGGCGACGAUCCUUAGCUGGUCUGAGAGGAUGAUCAGCCACACUGGGACUGAGACACGGCCCAGACUCCUACGGGAGGCAGCAGUGGGGAAUAUUGGACAAUGGGCGAAAGCCUGAUCCAGCAAUGCCGCGUGAGUGAUGAAGGCCUUAGGGUUGUAAAGCUCUUUUACCCGGGAUGAUAAUGACCGUACCGGGAGAAUAAGCUCCGGCUAACUCCGUGC